rnacentral:lncRNA from 1 species
GUCCUUCACUCUUGCCUGUCAUAAGGAGAAAUUGCUCUUUCCGUCAAACCUAUUGAUCUCCAUCUUGAUUGUGCUUGUCUUCUCCAUCUUCUAUCUCGAUCACCACCGUCGCAAGCUAUGCUCUGAUACCAAUUGUUGUGCAGAAUCCGGUACCACACGAUGCAGCCGAAAGAAAGAAGAAACAAAAUAAGAAACACAAUACAAAUACAU